rnacentral:rRNA from 1 species
AGUGAACGCUGGCGGUAGGCCUAACACAUGCAAGUCGAACGGCAGCACAGUAAGAGCUUGCUCUUACGGGUGGCGAGUGGCGGACGGGUGAGGAAUACAUCGGAAUCUACUUUUUCGUGGGGGAUAACGUAGGGAAACUUACGCUAAUACCGCAUACGACCUACGGGUGAAAGCAGGGGAUCUUCGGACCUUGCGCGAUUGAAUGAGCCGAUGUCGGAUUAGCUAGUUGGCGGGGUAAAGGCCCACCAAGGCGACGAUCCGUAGCUGGUCUGGGAGGAUGAUCAGCCACACUGGAACUGAGACACGGUCCAGACUCCGACGGGAGGCAGCAGUGGGGAAGAUUGGACAAUGGGCGCAAGCCUGAUCCAGCCAUACCGCGUGGGUGAAGAAGGCCUUCGGGUUGUAAAGCCCUUUUGUUGGGAAAGAAAAGCAGCAGGUUAAUACCCCGCUGUUCGGACGGUACCCAAAGAAUAAGCACCGGCUAACUUCGU